rnacentral:rRNA from 1 species
GACGAACGCUGGCGGCGUGCUUAACACAUGCAAGUCGAACGGUAAGGCCCUUCGGGGUACACGAGUGGCGAACGGGUGAGUAACACGUGGGUGAUCUGCCCUGCACUUCGGGAUAAGCCUGGGAAACUGGGUCUAAUACCGGAUAGGACCCUGGGAUGCAUGUCCUGGGGUGGAAAGCUUUUGCGGUGUGGGAUGGGCCCGCGGCCUAUCAGCUUGUUGGUGGGGUGAUGGCCUACCAAGGUGACGACGGGUAGCCGGCCUGAGAGGGUGACCGGCCUAACUGGGACUGAGAUACGGCCCAGACUCCUACGGGAGGCAGCAGUGGGGAAUAUUGCACAAUGGGCGCAAGCCUGAUGCAGCGACGCCGCGUGAGGGAUGACGGCCUUCGGGUUGUAAACCUCUUUCAGCACCGACGAAGCGCAAGUGACGGUAGGUGCAGAAGAAGGACCGGCCAACUACGUGCCAGCCGCCGCAGUAA